UUGUUGAGCAUAGGAACUUGGAAGGAUGCAACACCAUUUGCCAUGAUUUUAGAAAUUUUUGGUUAGAAUCUUGUGGCUCUGAUACCACUUUGUUGGAAAAGGAUUGCUAUUAAUAUUUGGAGGGAGGUUUUUAGGCUAAGGGAAUUUUGGAAGAGUAGAAAGAUUUUGGAGAGAAACUUUUAUUACUCAAACUUGUUUUUG
rnacentral:lncRNA from 1 species